rnacentral:rRNA from 1 species
AUUGAACGCUGGCGGCAGGCCUAACACAUGCAAGUCGAACGAGUGGCGGACGGGUGAGUAAUGUCUGGGAAACUGCCCGAUGGAGGGGGAUAACUUCUGGAAACAGUAGCUAAUACCGCAUACCAUCGGAUGUGCCCAUAUGGGAUUAGCGAGUGGGUGGGGUAACGGUCCACCUAGGCGAGGAUCCCUAGCUGGUCUGAGAGGAUGACGAGCCACACUGGAACGGAGACACGUUCCAGACUCAUACGUGAGGCAGCAGUGGGGAAUAUUGCACAAUGGGCGCAAGCCUGAUGCAGCCAUGCGGCGUGUAUGAAGAAGGCCUUCGGGUUGUAAAGUACUUGCAGCGAGGAGUCGUUACUCGCAGAAGAAGCACCGGCUAACUCCGUGCCAGCAGCCGCGGUAAUUC